GUCCUUGUAGCUUACAGCAAAGCAUGGCACUGAAGAUGCCAAGAUGGCCACCUAUACAUGCCCAAGGACA
rnacentral:tRNA from 1 species